UACGUAGGGGGCAAGCGUUGUCCGGAUUUAUUGGGCGUAAAGCGAGCGCAGGUGGUUUAUUAAGUCUGGUGUAAAAGGCAGUGGCUCAACCAUUGUAUGCAUUGGAAACUGGUAGACUUGAGUGCAGGAGAGGAGAGUGGAAUUCCAUGUGUAGCGGUGAAAUGCGUAGAUAUAUGGAGGAACACCGGUGGCGAAAGCGGCUCUCUGGCCUGCAACUGACACUGAGGCUCGAAAGCGUGGGGAGCAAACAGG
rnacentral:rRNA from 1 species